GCGCCCGGUGGCGACUAUUUUAAAAGAUCACUUUGUUAGAGAAAAGAUUGGGGAAACUAGAUAGUAGUGGGCAUCAAAGGGAGAAACUGGAUGGAAAGAAUAUUUCUUCCUCCAAGAAUAUUGGAGGAAAGUGGUCAAAAGGCACAAACUUCCAGUUAUAAGAUAAAGAAGUACUAGGGAUGUAAUGUACAACGUGAUGACUAUGUCUAACGCUGUAUGAUACAUAGGAAAGCUGUUAAGAGUAGAUCCUAGGAAUUCUAAUAACAAGAUUUUUUUUUCUUGUAUCUAUAUGAGAUGAUGGUUACUAAUAAACCAAUUACAGUAAUAUCACAAUAUAUGUAAAUCAAACCAUCGUGCUAUACACCUUAAAUUCAUAACAGUGAUGUGUAUCCAUUAUUUCUCCAAAAAACUGGGGAAAUGGGGGUAAAUGUUUGUAUUUUGAAGCAAAGAACUAUAGGGUGGGUUUUUUCCUUUUUUGAAAAAUAAAUACACAUGCUAAAAAUACUCAGAGCAUGCAAAAGAAUAUAGGAGUUAUAUUUCCAGUGGCUAUUAAGGAUGUGGGAUUAUAGUGAGGUGAAUAAUGUCUCCCAAAAUUCAUGUCCAUUUGGAAUCUCAGUGUGACCUAUUUGGAAAUAGGGUCUUUGUAGAUGAGGUUAAGAUGAGGUCAUAAUGGGUGUCCUUAUAAGAGGAGAGGAUGCAGAAAUAUAUAGUCACAGGAAAUAAGGACAUAUGAAGAUGGAGGCAGAGAUCGGAGUGUUGUAACAAUAUGCAGAGAAAUGCUGGGGGCCACUAGUAUCUAGGAAAAGACAAGGAAAGAUGAUCCCAAAGAGCCUUCAGAAGAAGCGUGGCCCUGCUAAUAACUUGAUUUCAGGCAGCUGUCCUCCAGGACCGUGAGGAUACAAGGAAAAGUCAGCAGUAUGCAAACGAGAAGACAUCGCUCCCCAGAACCUGACCAUACUGGCACCCUGAUCCUCGACCUCCAGCCGCCAGAACUGGAGUCAUAAAUGUAUCUACUUGGAAUCACACACUGCAAGUUCCAGGACAUUCAAGCAACCUUUCAGGUCUUUGCUCCAGCUGUCGGUCAGUUUUCACCAGCUGCUUCUCUUCACCUGGCCCUGAGGUCCUUUCCACGAAGCUCAGUCCAGCAAAGAAGCCAGCACCCAGAGGAAAUUCUUGCACGUACUGACCGGAACUCCUCUUGAGUAAGCUUUCCAAGAUCAUCACAAAUAAGUGAUGGAAGCAAAAUGACUUAAUUCUGUCUGCACUUGAAGGUCACUUGUACUUACUGAAAUUCAAGAACAACCUACGCCCCGAUGACGUUGACUGUGAGGACCAAUAGAUCAAUCAGAUACGGAAAGUUGGGUUUUGUUUUAUUAUUUAUUUAUUUAUUUAUUUUGUAAGGUAAUCUCUAUGCCCAACGUGGGGCUUUGAAUUCACGACUCUGAGAUAGAGAGUCGCAUGCUCUACAGACUGAGCCAGCCAGGCACCCCUGCACCCCAAACACACAAAGCUGAUCUUUAAACAGAGAACAGUAUUUCUCUGUUUAAGAGACACCAGCCAGGAUGAAAUUUUAAAUGCCAUGUGUGGUUCACCCACCAGAGCUGGCUUUGCAACACUUGUUCCAACAGAGCUCUCGAUUCUGCACAUGGUCUGUGACCUUCAAGUGCAGACAGACAGCACACACCUCUGGCUGUUCUGCAGAGCACUUUGGUCCAGGGGCUGUCGGGUAAGGGAGCAAGUGGUUUUCCAUUACUUACAACCCACGUUAUUAAACAUAAACACAAUCCAGAUAAGCUUUCAUUUUCUCAGCCUACAGGAUAGGACAGAAUUAAAACCAAAGAGAAUUAAGGGAAGACCCAAUGAUUUUGAACAAAUAACAUAAGUGAUUGUGCAGUUUCGACCCACCUAAUUUUGUGUCUGACUAUAAAAGAAUCCUUGUGAAGAAAAUAGGAUUUGAAGGAAACUGAAUGUCUGUGGAGACAAGUGUAUCUAAAUACAGUCAAUACUAAGGUAAUGAAACAAUAGUCAACUUAAUGAUAAGUAACCCAGUAGACGGUUUGAGUUUUAGAUCUACGAAAAUAUAGAUUGUUAUUUUUAUGUUUUCCACAGUAACUAGUCUUAAGCAGUGUGAAUGAAGCACAUUCUUGGGAAAACAAUCACACCAUCUGAGGAACUUGCUGACACUAAUUCUGAAUUAGUCGUUUCUGUAUUUGUAUUUUAAUAGGUUUUCACAUAUCAGUUUAGUUAUCAACACAAAAAUUUACCUUCUUUAAAGUGGAAUUCCCAACAUUUCCAGAGUACUCAGAAGUCAGAUUUUUUUCCUCCCCAAGAUCAGCUUAGACAGAACUAAAAUGGUCUUUUUCUUUGAUCUCACUAGAAUAUGAGAAAGCACCUGAUAUAGAACAGUAAUUAUUUUCCUACAAAAUU